rnacentral:rRNA from 1 species
UACGUAGGUGGCAAGCGUUGUCCGGAUUUACUGGGCGUAAAGGAUGCGUAGGCGGAUAUUUAAGUCAGAUGUGAAAUACCCGAGCUUAACUUGGGUGCUGCAUUUGAAACUGGAUAUCUAGAGUGCGGGAGAGGAAAGUGGAAUUCCUAGUGUAGCGGUGAAAUGCGUAGAGAUUAGGAAGAACACCGGUGGCGAAGGCGGCUUCCUGGACCGACACUGACGCUGAGGCGCGAAAGCUAGGGGAGCAAACGGG